rnacentral:rRNA from 1 species
GACAGAGGAUGCAAGCGUUAUCCGGAAUGAUUGGGCGUAAAGAGCUCGUAGGCGGUUUGUCGCGUCUGCCGUGAAAGUCCGGGGCUCAACUCCGGAUCUGCGGUGGGUACGGGCAGACUAGAGUGAUGUAGGGGAGACUGGAAUUCCUGGUGUAGCGGUGAAAUGCGCAGAUAUCAGGAGGAACACCGAUGGCGAAGGCAGGUCUCUGGGCAUUAACUGACGCUGAGGAGCGAAGGCGUGGGGAGCGAACGGG